rnacentral:tRNA from 1 species
UCAAAGAAAGUAAUUAAUACAUUAAGUUUCGGCCUUAAACAAUGGCUUCUUGCCUCUUUGAU